UACGUAGGAGGCAAGCGUUGUCCGGAAUCACUGGGCGUAAAGCGCGUGUAGGUGGUAGCAGGAAGUCUGCUGUGAAAGCGCCUGGCUUAGCCGGGCGAGGUCGGUGGAAACUCCUGGUCUAGAGGCCGGUAGGAGGGGGUGGAAUUCCGGGUGUAGUGGUGAAAUGCGUAGAGAUCCGGAGGAACACCCGUGGCGAAGGCGGCCCCCUGGGCCGC
rnacentral:rRNA from 1 species